CAGUAGCCGCGGGAAUACGUAGGGUGCGAGCGUUAAUCGGAAUUACUGGGCGUAAAGCGUGCGCAGGCGGUUGUGUAAGACAGGUGUGAAAUCCCCGGGCUUAACCUGGGAACUGCGCUUGUGACUGCACAGCUAGAGUAUGGCAGAGGGGGGUGGAAUUCCGCGUGUAGCAGUGAAAUGCGUAGAUAUGCGGAGGAACACCGAUGGCGAAGGCAAUCCCCUGGGCCUGCACUGACGCUCAUGCACGAAAGCGUGGGGAGCAAACAGGAUUAGAUACCCGCGUAGUCCUGUCUCUUAUACC
rnacentral:rRNA from 1 species